GAUCCUGGCUCAGGAUGAACGCUGGCGGCAUGCCUAAUACAUGCAAGUAGAACGCUGAGGCUUGGUGCUUGCACCGAGCGGAUGAGUUGCGAACGGGUGAGUAACGCGUAGGUAACCUGCCUGGUAGCGGGGGAUAACUAUUGGAAACGAUAGCUAAUACCGCAUAACAGUCGACAUUGCAUGAUGUUGAUUUGAAAGGGGCAAUUGUC
rnacentral:rRNA from 1 species